rnacentral:rRNA from 1 species
AGACGUCUACAUUAGAUACCCCUGUAGUCCCAGCCGUAAACUAUGCGCGUUAGGUGUAUCGGUGACCACGAGUCACCGAGGUGCCGAAGGGAAACCGUGAAACGUGCCGCCUGGGAAGUACGGUCGCAAGGCUGAAACUUAAAGGAAUUGGCGGGGAGCACCACAACAGGUGGAGCCUGCGGUUUAAUUGGACUCAACGCCGGGAAGCUCACCGGAUAGGACAGCAGAAUGAUUGCCGGGCUGAAGACUCUGCAUGACUAGCUG